rnacentral:rRNA from 1 species
GCCUAAAAUCUAGCCCAUUUAACCCACAUGACCCCCUUAACCAACUGUCUUAUAAACAAAACAUUUUAACAUUUUAGUACAGGUGAUCGAAAAAUUUCUAAGCGCUUCAGAUAAAGUACCGCAAGGGAAUAAUGAAAUAGAAAUGAAAUAACCUUAAAGCCCUAAAUAGCAGAGCUUCCCCCUCGUACCUUUUGCAUCAUGGUCUAGCCAGUUUCCCCAGGCAAAAUGAAAAUUUUAGUCUGACUCCCCGAAACUAAGCGAGCUACUUCGAAACAGCCCAAAGGGGCCAACCCGUCUCUGUUGCAAAAGAGUGGGAAGAUUUUCAAGUAGAGGCGAUAAACCUACCGAGCUUAGAGAUAGCUGGUUGUUCAGGAAAAGAGUUUUAGCUCUACCUUAAAUUUUUUUAUUAUACCAAACAAAACACUAGAUUUAAGAGCUAUUCAAAUAAGGCACAGCUUAUUUGAAACGGGGUACAACCCCUAACACUGGGUUAAUCUAGAUAUAUUAAAUAAAGUGGGCCUAAAAGCAGCCAUCUUCCAAAAAGCGUUAAAGCUUAACAUAUCUUCAUCUACAAUUCCACAAUUUUUACUUAACCCUUCAUCACUACUGAACUAUUUUAUACCCUUAUAAAAGUCAUUAUGCUAGAACUAGUAACAAGAAAUUGCCCUUCUCCAAAAUGUAUGUUUAAACCAAAAUGGACCCUCCACUGGUAGUUAACGUAAAUGUAAAAAUCAUAGUACCACACAACUAGAAAACCCUAUGACCCCACAACGUCAACCUUACACUAGAACAUUACAGGAAAGAUUAAAAGAGAAAGAAGGAACUCGGCAAACCACAGUCCCGCCUGUUUACCAAAAACACCGCCUCUUGCCCCAAAUAUAAGAGGUCCAGCCUGCCCAGUGACAUAGUUUAACGGCCGCGGUACCCUAACCGUGCGAAGGUAGCAUAAUCACUUGUUCUUUAAAUAAGGACUCGUAUCAACGGCAUCACGAGGGCUGUACUGUCUCCUUUCUCCAAUCAGUGAAACUGAUCUCCCCGUGAAGAAGCGGGGAUUGACCUAUAAGACGAGAAGACCCCAUGGAGCUUUAAACCCAAUAUACACCUCUACGCACCCAAAUCAAUAUAGCCCAAGAGGUUUGUAUGUUGGUUUUAGGUUGGGGGGACCGCGGAGUAAAAUUAAACCUCCAUGACAGACGGGCUAACACCCUUAUCCAUGAACCACAAUUCUAAGAGCCAAUAAAUUGUUGUCUAAUGACCCAAUUACUUGAUCAACGAACCAAGUUACCCUGGGGAUAACAGCGCAAUCUACUUCAAGAGCCCCUAUCGACAAGUAGGUUUACGACCUCGAUGUUGGAUCAGGGUAUCCUAGUGGUGCAGCCGCUACUAAAGGUUCGUUUGUUCAACGAUUAAAACCCUACGUGAUCUGAGUUCAGACCGGAGUAAUCCAGGUCGGUUUCUAUCUAUAAAGCGUUUCCCCUAGUACGAAAGGAUCGGGGUAACAUGGCCAAUAUAAAAACAAGCCAUUGUCUUCUACUAAUGAAAUAAUCUUAAUUAGCUAAGACCUUCUAUUACCCCUUAAACCAAGGC